rnacentral:rRNA from 1 species
AUACGUAGGUCCCAAGCGUUGCGCGAUCUCACUAGGCGUAAAGCGUCCCCAGCCGGUCCGGUAAGCGGAUUGUCAAAACCCGCGGCUCAACCGCGGUAGGGCAACCCGAACUGCCGGACUUGAGGCAAGCCCAGGCAGGCGGAAUUCCCGGUGUAGCAGUGAAAUGCGUAGAUAUCGGGAGGAACACCAAAGGGGAAGCCAGCCUGCUGGGGCUGCCCUGACGGUCACGGACGAAAGCUGGGGGAGCAAACCGGAUUAGAAACCCUUGUAGUCC